GGGCACCAGGUUUUAAAUCCUUGCAGCCUUAUUCACUCGAGUUAUAAAGGCUCGAUAAGAUGAAUUUUUGUCAACUUCUCCUUUUUCUUGCUUUCUAUAUGACCCCUGUAACGAGCUUUAGGCCGAUAAUUCCCAAACCAGUUGGUUUUAGGAUAUCAGGUUUUAAGCCCUAACAGACUUACUUGCUCGAGUCAUAAAGGCUUUAGAGAGAAGUGAUAAUUUUCCAAUUUUUAUUUUAUGCCCUUUACUUGUUUUUUUUU
rnacentral:lncRNA from 1 species